rnacentral:rRNA from 1 species
AUUGAACGCUGGCGGCAUGCUUUACACAUGCAAGUCGAGCGGCAGCGCGGGCUUCGGCCUGGCGGCGAGUGGCGAACGGGUGAGUAAUACAUCGGAACGUGCCCAGUAGUGGGGGAUAGCUCGGCGAAAGCCGGGUUAAUACCGCAUACGACCUGAGGGUGAAAGCGGGGGAUCUUCGGACCUCGCGCUAUUAGAGGGGCCGAUGGCGGAUUAGCUAGUUGGUGGGGUAAAGGCCUACCAAGGCGACGAUCUGUAGCUGGUCUGAGAGGACGACCAGCCACACUGGAACUGAGACACGGCCCAGACUCCUACGGGAGGCAGCAGUGGGGAAUUUUGGACAAAGGGCGAAAGCCUGAUCCAGCAAUGCCGCGUGUGUGAUGAAGGCCUUCGGGUUGUAAAGCACUUUUGGCUGGAACGAAAAGGACUGUGCCAAUACCACGGUUCGAUGACGGUACCCGCAGAAUAAGCACCGGCUAACUACGUG